GCUCUACCACUUACUUGCUGCAUAGCCUGGGCUAGUUUCUGCUCUGCCACUAACUUGCUGCAUGACCCUGCAUCCAGCUCAGCAUCCAUCUCACAGUAGGCACACAGUGAAUGUUGAUUUGAACAAGUGAACGGAUUGAAAGAAAUAUUUACUGAAAUUGCUUCUUAACAAUCUAGCCAACAAGUACAGCAUCCUGGAUGGAGGCAUCAGAGAUCACAUCUCUGGCUUUGUGCUGCAGACCCACAUGGAGAAUCCCACAUGGUGUAACCAAAAUCCUCAAGGCCAGAUAAGACUUGGCACUGGAAGCUUUGAAAUGCAAUGCCUAGCUCUGAAGAGGAUGUAUAACAAAUGAUUUACUAUGCAUUGAUCCAACUAAUGGAAAAUAAAAAACAACUUUUAAAAUA